rnacentral:rRNA from 1 species
CCUACGGGUGGCAGCAGUCGAGAAUCAUUCACAAUGGGGGAAACCCUGAUGGUGCGACGCCGCGUGGGGGAAUGAAGGUCUUCGGAUUGUAAACCUCUUUUGUCGGGGAGCAAGGCCCGCCACGUGUGGCGGGACGGAGAGUACCCGAAGAAAAAGCAUCGGCUAACUCCGUGCCAGCAGCCGCGGUAAUACGGAGGAUGCGAGCGUUAUCCGGUUUUAUUGGGUUUAAGGGGUGCGUAGGCGGAAGGUUAAGUCAGUGGGCAAAUGUCGGUGCUAAACACCGGCCGGCCGUUGAAACGGGUCUUCUUGAGUGAGCGAGAAGGAUGCGGAAUGCGUGGUGUAGCGGUGAAAGGCAUAGAU